UAUUUUUAUUAAAAGAUUUAUAAUUCACAUCAGGAAUAUUAGAUAAGGAAAUGCUACAAAUUAGGAAUAUUAAUUAAUUGAUAAUAAUUGAUGGCAAUGACAUCCCUUGUAAAUAAGUUUCAACUUGAGGAUUUAUUUGCUAAAAUGACUGCAAAAAUGUAUAUAUAAAUAUACACAUUUUUGCAGCCAUUUUGUGAAAUAAAUCCUGGAGUUGGAACUUAUUUACAAUGGUUGCCACUGGCUUUUAAUUAUUGUGUUUUUCAGCAAUAAAUUGAUUAACAAACGAAAAACAUUCCAAAUAUAUUACAAUCCCAUAUAUCACGCAGAUUUUUCCAAAAUUUGAACUAGAUUUCGGUAACUAUUUAAAACAAAAAAUGUUUGACAACCCAAAAGACAAUUGCAAUCCCUUAAAAUGAGCAAAACGCAACUAAAUACAUUUUUUAUCAAUUCACUAAAUCUUAUUUCUCCAAAAUUUAAACUAGAUUUCGAGAACUAUUUAAAACAAAAUUUUGUUUGACAAACUAAAACACAAUUGCAAUCCCGUAAAAUAUUUAUUUUAAUUAUAAAUUUAAAUUAGCAGGGUACCGCGUUUUUUACACAGUACGGGUUUGGCGGAACGGGUUUGGAAGGAUGUUACUUAAUAACAAUUGUAAACUAUAAAAUAAAAAUGU
rnacentral:sRNA from 1 species